rnacentral:rRNA from 1 species
GACGAACGCUGGCGGCGUGCUUAGCACAUGCAAGUCGAACGGAAAGGCCCUGCUUUUGUGGGGUGCUCGAGUGGCGAACGGGUGAGUAACACGUGAGUAACCUGCCCUUGACUUUGGGAUAACUUCAGGAAACUGGGGCUAAUACCGGAUAGGAGCUCCUGCUGCAUGGUGGGGGUUGGAAAGUUUCGGCGGUUGGGGAUGGACUCGCGGCUUAUCAGCUUGUUGGUGGGGUAGUGGCUUACCAAGGCUUUGACGGGUAGCCGGCCUGAGAGGGUGACCGGCCACAUUGGGACUGAGAUACAGCCCAGACUCCUACGGGAGGCAGCAGUGGGGAAUAUUGCACAAUGGGCGGAAGCCUGAUGCAGCAACGCCGCGUGCGGGAUGACGGCCUUCGGGUUGUAAACCGCUUUCGCCUGUGACGAAGCGUGAGUGACGGUAAUGGGUAAAGAAGCACCGGCUAACUACGUG